CGCAAAACAGUGCCCCCUGAAAUCUGAUUAAAUCGGUAAAUGCAUUAUGGGCACCCUGUUCCCAAAUUCGUUUUACU
rnacentral:tRNA from 1 species